GAGACGGGGAGCAGGCAGGACAAAAUUCUCCUGGCCUCCCGCCUUCGGAGGUACGUGAGCACUUGUCUGCGUAAUACUGGUUUCCUGCUCUGGAAGAGAAGGGAAGUCGGCCGACUGGAGGAGACGGAGGUGGAUGACUGGAAAACAGAAAGAGUUUUUUUCACCGGAGUCUUCUGUUAAGUUAUGGAUUUUGUGCCGACAUUACCAAAACCAAAAAGGACAAAGUUAAGAGUAGAGAUGGGAAUGAGAUGUUUGAAUACAAGGGAAAUAAAGGCAGUGUAUUUAAAGUAGGUUGGGCAGUAAUCCUGUAAACCUUGAAAGGCUAGUGGGACCACAACUGGACAAAGGAGAUUAGCAUGGCAGGGCUCUGUAACCUUGAGCAGGGAAUUAUGGGAAAACAGUACUUUAGGGCCAGUGAGUCUGCAAAAUGGCUUAGAGUGGAAACAGAUUGGAGGCAGAGAAGCCAAAAAGGUAGUAACUGGAAAUGAGAAGUCCUAAACAGGACUUCAAGCCUUCAUUAAAGCAAGCCCUCCCAGGCCACUCUGCCCCGCCCCUUCAAUAAAUGCACUUACCUGUAUUGUUCAUAGGACUUUUAUUACCUACAAAUAUCUGGGACCUUGUCUGUUCCAGAUAAAUGAUAUUAGCAAAACUUAGCUAUUUUACUUCCAGAAAGCAAAAAGAAGGAAAAACAACUUGUUCCAGCCCAUUUUCUGGAUGGAUUCUCUUCGUUUUUCAUAAUACUGCUGGAAGUAAAGAAUGAAAUGUAUACAAUCCACAAUUGCCAUUCAACUCUGAAAAGGUGUGACCCAAUAAAAAAUAGAGUAUAGAAACAAGUCUUAGGUGAUCUCUCACUAUAACCUGUUCUGACUCACAGUACCUGCCCAUAUCACCCCAGCCAUACCAUAAAAUGGCCACACCCUAUAACAGAUCUUUUAUCAGUUAUUACAGUGAUAUUUAGAAAAUAUGCAGUCAUUUAAACAAAUCCUUUCAACAACCAUUUCAGUGUUUGGAUGGUUUGCAAUGUUCAGACUCCCAGAUAAGCAUUCUUCUUGUACUGCCUUUGUUAACUGUUUCUGAUCUUGCCAUCUAGCUCACUGUCUUCCAAGCAACAGGUACCCAAUAUGUGUUUUAUUGAUUAAAACCUUCUAGAACUAGAGAAGCAAGGGACAACUGCCUAUUAAAAUAGCUGACAGUCAGAAUUUCCAUAUUUAGAGAAACAGUAGUACCAGACAACUAAAAAGUUAGGAGGGUACAGCCCCAAGAUUUCAAACUAGAUUUCCAUGAUGGAAAAUGACACUACUAGCAAAAUGGGGAUGGGGUGACUAAGACCUCAGUUUAUAGAGCAAGAUAUGAGCAUGGUUUUUAGACAUGGAAAGUGGUGACAGGACAUCUCAGGAGAAAAAGACUAUAUUAAGAGAAGCUACCCAAUGCUGUUUUUACUGUUAAGUCCUGUUUAAUUCCUAAGGAAAGUACACUGAAGGUCCAUUAUGUUAUUCUGUGCUCCAGUUCCACUUCAUGGAACCUCUUCCUAAACCAUAUUCAUACAUUCUAUCAUAAUCUGAUUAUAAUGAAUAGAGAUUCUAAAAGUAAUUUAAAAAUCAUUUAAUACACAAAGUGGAAAACUGUCUAGAAUAUAAAAGCAUUUCACAUUUUUUAAAAAACACAUAAUACCUUCUAAAUUACUUAACAGAUGAUAGAUCCACAAUCCUUUAUCUGAAACCCUUAGGGCAAGAUGUUUCAGAAUUAUGAAAUUUUCAGAUUUUAGAAAGGUAAUUCAGGACAUAUACCAUACUACAUAAACACCCAGCAGGGUCUGUGGCAGCCCCCCCCCCAAUAAUCAAAUAUGUUAAUAUUUCCACAGCAAAGUAAAU